rnacentral:rRNA from 1 species
AUAACUGUCUCCUCGUGGCUUAAUAGAAAUUAUUUUUUAGGUGAAGAAGCCUGAAUUAAAUUGAAAGACAAGAAGACCCUAUCGAGCUUUAAAGAAGUUAAUAAGUUUAAAAAUGAUGUUUAUCAAAAUAUUAAUUAUUACAUUUUUUAGUUGGGGCGACAAAGGAACCAAAAAAGCUUCCUUUAUUAAAUAAAUACUUUCAAGUAUUGAUCCAAAGUAUUUUGAUUAAAGAAAAUAGUUACAGUAGGGAUAACAGCAUCAUCUUUUUUGAGAGCUCUUAUCGAAAAAAAGGUUUGUGACCUCGAUG